rnacentral:lncRNA from 1 species
AAAGACCUUAUCUCAGUUUGGCACCAACGCAUUGCUUGAGUUCGCACCUAGUAGCAUAAACACCAACCCCAACCACAAAGAAGAAGGUUACCCGACCCUACCAAUACCUACCUGACAAAAGACCCCUAGUUGUCCCUCCUCUUGCUUUACCACCACUGUAACACCCCACCCAUAACUGUACAAAAAUGAUUUGGAAACUCUAUUUAUUCGAGCCU